GGCCAGACUCCUACGGGAGGCAGCAGUGGGGAAUAUUGGGCAAUGGGCGCAAGCCUGACCCAGCAACGCCGCGUGAAGGAAGAAGGCUUUCGGGUUGUAUACUUCUUUUAAGAGGGAAGAGUAGAAGACGGUACCUCUUGAAUAAGCCACGGCUAACUACGUGCCAGCAGCCGCGGUAAUACGUAGGUGGCAAGCGUUGUCCGGAUUUACUGGGUGUAAAGGGGGCGCAGACGGCGAUGCAAGCCAGGAGUGAAAGCCCUGGGCCCAACCCCGGGACUGCUCUUGGAACUGCGUGGCUAGAGUGCAGGAGGGGCAGGCGGAAUUCCUGGUGUAGCGGUGAAAUGCGUAGAUAUCAGGAGGAACACCGGUGGCGAAGGCGGCCUGCUGGACUGCAACUGACGUUGAGGCCCGAAAGCGUGGGGAGCAAACAGGAUUAGAUACCCUAGUA
rnacentral:rRNA from 1 species